GCCAGUGAGGCACAGGCCAGGCUCCCCCGUCCUCCUGGGGGCUCUGGAGUGCCCGCUGUCCUGGCUCCGGACACCCUUUGUGAUCCUGGGGACUCCACGUGAAGGUGCCACCCUCUCCACAGGGCCCGCCAGUGAGCCAGCCUCCAACCAGGGCCGUGGGUAUUCAGGACCAGGCCACAGCGGAGCCCAGACUGUCCCCUGCAGUCACGGCCCUGAUGGCAGCCUCAAGGGGAAGAGCGGCAGUGGGAUUGGCCCUGCUUCACUCACUUUAAGUUUAGUUUACUGUCUUGCGUAUUUGAGGCUGGCCCUGAGCUCGUCACCCCUGGCUCUGCCUCUCACAUGGUGGGGCUGCUGGCACCUUUCCCAGCGUUCCCAGGUUUUGGCCCCUUAUCACUUGUACCCUCGUGACAAUGUGGGCAGGGACAGAGUGAAGCCGAGCAAGACUGCUGCCGUCUUCCAGCCUCCUGUGGUGGCCUUGGAGAGCCGAGGCUCCAGGCCCCAGCGUCGGCUCCCCUGCUCCCGCCGUGGCCACUGUUGGAACCCAGGGCCGAAAAUCAGCCGUUGUUCACAGCCAAAGGGCCUGGCUGGGUGACGUCCUGCACGGCCUGGACCUGGGCUGCUGCCCCACCCAAGGCCUUUGUUCCAGUGUGCAAGGGAGCAGGCCUCUCCGCCUCCGCCAGCUCGGGCCCCAGAGCGGGGCGGGGUCUGCCGUGCACCCGAGGGUGUCAGGGUGACAGCCUGUGUCUGGGGCUGGGAGCUCUGCGGAGCGUCCCAGUGCGGGAAGGGGUCCCUGCCAACGUGGGGUGCCGAGGCGGCUGGUGGGACCGGAAGAGCCGCAGGACGCCCGGCUGGAACGUCCUGGGGAGCAGCGAGGGCGGGCAGCAGCUGUGUCUCAGGAGGAGGCCGCAGCCCCUGCUCCGGGGCCCAGGUGACGGGCAGCCCCACCCCGGACAGCAGGGUCACAGGAGGGCCCUACGAGGUGACCACCGCGCCCAGGCCCUCCCGGGUGGGUGGCGGGCACCGAGAAGCCGCACUGUUCCCGACCGACGCCCAGGCCCCGGUCUGCGCGGGGCUCGGCCGAGGCUCCAUCCCGCUGCCCGGCUGGCCUCUCCCACUCCCGCCCUCUGGCCUCCUCACAGCCCCAGCGCCCCCCGGCCCCUCCUGGGCGGUGUCCAGCAGCUGGGCUGGGCGCCGCACUCUGUGGGCUGGUGUCUGGGCCCAGGACGAGACCCAGCCAUGCCGCACGCCCUCCGGGCGUGGGCGAAGGAACGGGGUCAGGAGCCAUCCUGUCGAUGUCGACUGCGGGGUCCUGGGCCGGCGUCCAGUGGGGACCUGCAGCUGCCGAGGGUGCGGCUGUCGGCGAGGACAGCUGGGCGGCGGGCGGGCAGAGGUGGGGACAGCCUGGCCGCAGCCAUCGGAAAGGCUUCUGUGGAAAGCGUGCGGGUGUCAGAGAACAGGUGGCUCCGUGACUCAGCCCCUGACCGGAGAUGCGGCCACGCCCUUCCCCGACCGCCCUGGGGCCGGGAAGCAGCCCUCCGAAUUGGAACCGCCUGGGAGCCGCACCUCCCCUGACCUCGCCUGGCUCCUGGGGCAGGCAGCGCUGAGCCUGCCCGCCCGGCCCGGCCCGCAGUACCGGGGAUCAAACUCAGGACCGUGGGGUUUCGAGGCAGGCACAGUGCCACUGAGCUAAAUCCUGGCCCUAGACUUGGUUAACUGUAAAAAAUUAUAAAAUAUAUUAUGCUUAGAAAAUAGAAUGGC
ensembl:lncRNA